GUGCACGCUGGCGGUAGGCCUAACACAUGCAAGUCGAACGGCAGCACAGUAAGAGCUUGCUCUUACGGGUGGCGAGUGGCGGACGGGUGAGGAAUACAUCGGAAUCUACUUUUUCGUGGGGGAUAACGUAGGGAAACUUACGCUAAUACCGCAUACGACCUACGGGUGAAAGCAGGGGAUCUUCGGACCUUGCGCGAUUGAAUGAGCCGAUGUCGGAUUAGCUAGUUGGCGGGGUAAAGGCCCACCAAGGCGACGAUCCGUAGCUGGUCUGAGAGGAUGAUCAGCCACACUGGAACUGAGACACGGCCCAGACUCCUACGGGAGGCAGCAGUGGGGAAUAUUGGACAAUGGGCGCAAGCCUGAUCCAGCCAUACCGCGUGGGUGAAGAAGGCCUUCGGGUUGUAAAGCCCUUUUGUUGGGAAAGAAAAGCGGCAGGUUAAUACCCCGCUGUUCUGACGGUACCCAAAGAAUAAGCACCGGCUAACUUCGUG
rnacentral:rRNA from 1 species